rnacentral:rRNA from 1 species
UACGUAGGGUGCAAGCGUUGUCCGGAAUUAUUGGGCGUAAAGAGCUCGUAGGCGGUUUGUCGCGUCUGCUGUGAAAACUCAGGGCUUAACCCUGAGCCUGCAGUGGGUACGGGCAGACUAGAGUGUGGUAGGGGAGAUCGGAAUUCCCGGUGUAGCGGUGGAAUGCGCAGAUAUCAGGAGGAACACCGGUGGCGAAGGCGGAUCUCUGGGCCAUAACUGACGCUGAGGAGCGAAAGCAUGGGGAGCGAACAGG